UACAGAGGUGGCAAGCGUUGUUCGGAAUUACUAGGCGUAAAGGGCGCGUAGGCGGUUCGAUAAGUCCCGUGUGAAAUCCCUGGGCUCAACCCAGGAAUGGCACGGGAGACUGUCGGACUUGAGUUCGGGAGAGGGAAGCGGAAUUCCGGGUGUAGCGGUGAAAUGCGCAGAUAUCCGGAGGAACACCGGUGGCGAAGGCGGCUUCCUGGACCGACACUGACGCUGAGGCGCGAAAGCCAGGGGAGCAAACGGG
rnacentral:rRNA from 1 species